UACGGAGGGUGCGAGCGUUGUCCGGAAUCACUGGGCGUAAAGCGUGCGCAGGCGGCGCGUUAAGACAGGUGUGAAAGCCCCGAGCUUAACUUGGGAAUUGCGCUUGUGACUGGCGUGCUGGAGUGUGGCAGAGGGAGGUGGAAUUCCACGUGUAGCAGUGAAAUGCGUAGAGAUGUGGAGGAACACCGAUGGCGAAGGCAGCCUUCUGGGCCAACACUGACGCUCAUGCACGAAAGCGUGGGGAGCAAACAGG
rnacentral:rRNA from 1 species